AUACAAAGGCGAGACAAAGAGAGCGAGGAAAAAUGAAAGGGGCGAGAAAGAAAUAGCUAUUUCUUUCUCGCCCCUUUCAUUUUUCCUCGCUCUCUUGCUCUCGCCUUCACAUC